rnacentral:lncRNA from 1 species
AGGCUUCGGGUGCGAGGCUUCGGGUUCGAGGCUUCGGGUGCGAGGCUUCGGGUGCGAGGCUUCGGGUGCGAGGCUUCGGGUGCGAGGCUUCGGGUGCGAGGCUUCGGGUGCGAGGCUUGCUGAGGUACCUCAACCCUCUCCCUACUUCAGAUUCCAAAACACAUGGGAAAUCUUGGUUGUGAUAUAUUUAAGCAAUAAGGCCCGAGGCGGUGUGGUAUAUGGCCAAUUUACCACGGCUAAGGGCUGUUCUUAUGCACGACGCAACACGGUAUGGAUACACCCCUUAGCCGUGGUAUUUUGGCCAUAUAUCACAAAUCCCAGAGGUGCCUUAUUGCUUAUAAACUGGUUACCAACGUAAUUAGAACAAAACAUUAUUAUAAUUUUUUUCAUACCCAUGGUAUAUGGUCUGAUAUAACACGGCUUUCAGCCAAUCAAAUUAAAUUGUAUUUCACGUGCCGAAUACAACAGACCUUACUGUGAAAUGCAAGCCCUUAACCAACAAUGUGGUUUAAGAAAUUGUUAAAAUAUUUACUAAAUGAACUAAAGAUAUAAAAAUGUACAAGUAACACAACACAAUAAAAUAACAAUAACGAGGCUAUAAACAGGGUAUUACGGUACAGAGUCAAUGUGGAGGCUAUAUACAGGGGGGUACUGGUGCAGAGUCAAUGUGGAGGCUAUAUACAGGGGGUACCGGUACAGAGUCAAUGUGGAGGCUAUAUACAGGGUAUUACGGUACAGAGUCAAUGUGGAGGCUAUAUACAGGGGGGUACUGGUACAGA